UACAGAGGGGGCAAGCGUUGUUCGGAAUUACUGGGCGUAAAGGGCGCGUAGGCGGCCUGUUAAGUCGAACGUGAAAUCCCCGGGCUCAACCCGGGAACUGCGUCCGAAACUGGCAGGCUUGAAUCCGGGAGAGGGAUGUGGAAUUCCAGGUGUAGCGGUGAAAUGCGUAGAUAUCAGGAGGAACACCAAUGGCGAAGGCAGCUCGCUGGGACGGUACUGACGCUGAGGCGCGAAAGCGUGGGGAGCAAACAGG
rnacentral:rRNA from 1 species